rnacentral:rRNA from 1 species
GCGAGUCUGAAUAGGGCGCAUAAGUAACAGGUCGUAGACCCGAAACCAGGUGAUCUACCCAUGUCCAGGAUGAAGGUAAGGUAAUACUUACUGGAGGUCCGAACCCACGCACGUUGAAAAGUGCGGGGAUGAGGUGUGGGUAGCGGAGAAAUUCCAAUCGAACUUGGAGAUAGCUGGUUCUCUCCGAAAUAGCUUUAGGGCUAGCCUCGAGGUAAAGAGUCAUGGAGGUAGAGCACUGUUUGGACUAGGGGCCCUUCUCGGGUUACCGAAUUCAGAUAAACUCCGAAUGCCAUGUACUUAUACUCGGGAGUCAGACUGCGAGUGAUAAGAUCCGUAGUCGAAAGGGAAACAGCCCAGACCACCAGUUAAGGUCCCCAAAUAUAUGUUAAGUGGAAAAGGAUGUGGGGUUGCUUAGACAACCAGGAUGUUGGCUUAGAAGCAGCCACCAUUGAAAGAGUGCGUAAUAGCUCACUGGUCGAGUGACCCCGCGCCGAAAAUGUACCGGGGCUAAACAUAUUACCGAAACUGUGGAUGAACCUCUUCGGAGGUUCGUGGUAGGAGAGCGUUCUAAGGGCGGUGAAGUCAGACCGGAAGGACUGGUGGAGCGCUUAGAAGUGAGAAUGCCGGUAUGAGUAGCGAAAGAAGGGUGAGAAUCCCUUCCACCGAAUAUCUAAGGUUUCCUGAGGAAGGCUCGUCCGCUCAGGGUUAGUCGGGACCUAAGCCGAGGCCGAUAGGCGUAGGCGAUGGACAACAGGUAGAGAUUCCUGUACCAGUGCUAAUUGUUUAACCGAUGGGGUGACACAGAAGGAUAGGGAAUCGCACGAAUGGAAAUGUGCGUCCAAGCAGUGAGUGUGAGAAGUAGG